GGAAGGAGGAUGCAAAAGCCGAGCCACCUCUCUCUCUCUCUCUCUCAAAGGUUCCUCUUUCCUUCUUCCUCUGAUCUGAGAACAAUCACAGUCGGACUCUCUCUUCCAAUACCCACAUCGAAUUUGGUAGGGUUUCCACGACCUCCUAAAGCCUUUUGUUUUACCAGGCAAGUCAUUAUUUUUUAAUUUUCCCGAUAAUUUUAUGCUAAUUUGGCCCGUUUCCCGUCCUGAUUCUCUCAGUCUUUGCUCCAUCUUCUCGAGCUCUCUCUCGCAACUCAUCCAUUUCUCCAACAAUUGACUGAAUUGGAGCCUUCUGUAAUGAUUGGAGCUGUUGGGAUUUUGAAAAAAAUGGGAGUAAUUUUUCUUUUGGGUUUCGUCCCUCUGGUAUUUAUAUUGAACCCAAAACCCCAAAAGAUUUGAACUUUCAGG